ensembl:lncRNA
UUUACGUGUGACACAUAUGAUUUGGUUUAUCGAUGUAUUAUAAAGUUGUUCAAGACGCACAUCCAGCCAUAAGAAAGCCAUAACGUCAUACAAGGACUGAAAGGUGACGUUUGCAACGGUAAACUCUUUUUGUGUGAAGGAACAUUCUUCUUUUUGAUCAUUUUUGUGUUUGUGACGAAGCGGACUCAUUCCCUGUUUGCGUAAAUGCGGCCAGCGAGUCGCUGUAAAAAGUCAGUCCAUCCUCGCCGACUUCAACACCUCUUCAUGACAACUUGUUCUGCCUCCGACCUCGUGGAAACUCAAGAAACUCGGGAAAACCUGUCGAGACUCGAAGAACUCGUGGCGACUCGAAAAAC